rnacentral:rRNA from 1 species
UACGGUGGUGGCAAGCGUUGUUCGGAAUUACUGGGCGUAAAGGGCGCGUAGGCGGCUAGGCAAGUCAGGUGUGAAAGCCCCGAGCUUAACUCGGGAAUUGCAUCUGAAACUGCUGUGCUUGAGUUCUGGAGGGGGUAGUGGAAUUCCCAGUGUAGCGGUGGAAUGCGCAGAUAUCAGGAAGAACACCAACGGCGAAGGCAGCUCGCUGGGACGGUACUGACGCUGAGACGCGAAAGCGUGGGGAGCAAACAGG